UGAGGUUGCCCGAGGCGAGUGUUGUUUGUGUAAGUUUCCUUGCACAGGUAGGCCAGCCACCUACCUAUCUGGAACCCUUUGCCUCCUCCUUCAGUCUCUCUGCCUUCCAGGCACAGGGGCCAGUCUGCAAACCAGCAACCACGGAGGUGAGAAGACUGGAACAUCUAAAAAGUGCUGAAGGAAGAGAACUGUCGGUCUGGAAUUCUAUAGCUGACAAAAAUGUCCUUUCCAAAGGAGACCAAAUGAAGUCUUUCUAAGUGAAGGAAAACUAUGAUAGUUUUCCAAUAGCAAGCAUGCGCUCAAAGAAAUGCUAAAGCAAGUUUUUCAGGUUGGAAAGAAAUAAUAGCAGAAGGAAACUUGGAACGCCAGGAAUAAAGGAGAAACAAGAAAAGUGGUAAAUAUCUGGAUUUCAAGCCUGCUCCUCUAAAGACCAGAACCCCUUCAUUAGCUCUCCUAGAUACCCAGCCUGUCCACUGCAGAUCUUGGAACUCAUCAGUGUCCAUAAUGAAUGUUUGAAUUUCAUCAGUGAUGGAAAAAAAUCCUUAAUAUACUAUAGAGAAAUGUGCUCAGAAGAAAUUUGGAAAUACCCAGAGAAUUCUAACCACUACAAUAAGCCAGCCACAGUGGGAAUCAACCUUAAUUGAGAUAUCACUGACAUCAUCUGUACUGUAGGAUUCUUGGAAGAAUUACUUAAAUGUAUAUUGAGUGCCCAAGAUCAUAAUACAACAAGUGCCAGCUACUGUUUCCAGUACAUCCCCAGUGGAAUGUAUUUUCCACCCUCCAUGGCUCACAUACAUCACUUUGGAGAUCAGUCUCUUAAACUGUUAUUUUCUAUAAUUAUAUAUGUCUUCUAGUUAAAGACCCCACUCGGUGUCUUAAUUUUAUAUGUCGCUUAAUAUUUCAGUCUUUACUUGGAAUUGAGAAAAUAGAAUGCAUUAAGAUGAAUUGCUAUAUGUUUAAAAUUUCACUCCUCAGUCAUUUGAUAUUGGCCAGAAUGUUUCUCUAUGUGUAGAUGUUUCAUCAUCCGUCAAUUAUAUAAAUCUUCUUUUUCCCUACACCAAAAGAUUAUUGUAAGAAAUGGUCUAGUGUGUGAAUAUUACUUUAAAUCCAAGAGUGGCAAGGAGACUAAAAUACAUUAUUAGAUUGGAGGCACUAUGCUUGGUGCUUUUAAUUAAACUCCUAAGUAAAUGUUAUUAAAAUGAUUCCUAAUUGUUGAGGAAGUAUAACUAGAAGUAUGCUGUAAAUGAUGAUGAAAUAUUUGUCUUAAUUGUUUGAGGGGAAAGUCCUAAGUGAAAUACUCAUAUGCUGGUAAGAAUAUUAGGGGUAUGUGCAAGUUAUCCAAAUUAAAACGAACUUCCCUAUAAUUGCACUUCAAAAGAAGCUUUGUGGUACUCAAAACACAUUUUGCUAAAAAUUUUCAUUCUUGGCUAAGGAGAAAAACUGUUAAGUCUCUUUAUCUUUUAUUUUUGCACAUUCCCUGGGGGCACUGCCCCCCCCCCCCAAUUUACGAGUAUAUAAGGACUUUGUUGUGCUACUUAAAUCUAGUUUUCCAUUAACAGCUGCGUUGACUUUUUUUCUUUCCAAAGAAAAAUCAGAGAAAGUAUUAGCGUAGUAACAAGAAGCUAUGAAAUGUAUCUAGACAUAAGUAAUCUCUGCUUUCUAAAUCAAAGGAGUUGUGUACAUUAAGCAUGUUUGAAGUAAUACAUGGAUUUACAAUGAAAACUUCCCCUUUGACUUUCUUUUUAAUUUCCAGUUUUAUCGAUGUGUAAUUGACAAAUAAAAAUUGUAUGUA